AGCACACUAAGCAAAAUAUAUAUAUAAGCACAAAAUCGUUAUUUGGUUUUUCAUAGUUAUGUAUUUUUAUAUUUUAAUAUAGUAUAAGUAUAAAGAUAGAUAGAAAUACUUAGCGGGAUAAAUGGGGGUGCUCUCCCCCAAGCUGAAUUUUGACGUAAUUUCUCCUGAUGUAGCUAGCAGGUGGCAGAGGUGUAUUUGAAAGUCGGCAGUAUCUUUACAGCGAUUAAAAUGUCCUCCGUCUGCUAGUCUUCUUGAUUCUUAGAUUCUGUGGAGCUCAAAUAGACAACAAAGCUUUGUGGAACUGAUUAAGUGUUAGCACAAAUAUCUAGCCUUUAUCAUGUUGAGCCUCCUCAAUAAAUGUUACUCCCUUAUUUUUAUAUUUUCGUUUUAUAAAGCAGAAAAGAAAUAUUUAUUUUAUUUUUAUGCCACCACAGUGAAUGUACUUCUUUCAUGCCACUCAUAUACUCACAUGGGGCUUACUAUUUUUCACAUUUUUAUUUUCUUUUUAGGAUAGUACAAACAUGAUUAACUCAACUGUUUACAAUUAAUUAAAAGGGAAAGGAUAACUACCAAGUUUACCUCUUGGCAAGGCGUUCGGUGUGUUUAAGUCCUCCGAACGGGACUCUCCGUUUUCUAGUUGUCCUGGGAUUCGUUGGGUGGCGUAGCCGGUGCUUCCGGCAGCGCCUCUUCUUCAUGUAUGGUUAUCUUCUCUUUCCACACCUAACUCGGUGCUACGGUCUCCUCUGAAUAAUUCUGUUUAAACUAUAUGUCUUCUGAUCUUAUCGCUUCUCCUUCAUAGUCUGCCCAUCCGUCCUUGAUGAUUUGCCUCCUCUGGUUGCGGUUGCAUCGUUUUCUGACCUGCUUAAAGUCUUCAACGAUAUAGUUAGGGUCAGUAAAAUAGCGGCGUACCUUCUCUGAGGGGAAGUGCAUAUGGACUUCUCCAGUUCCAAUGUAGAUGAUUGCUUUAACGGUGCUGAGGAACGGUCUUCCAAGGAUGAUGGGUGGAUCGUAUUCGUCUUCUUCCAUGUCAAUAACCUGAAAGUCUGUGUAGACAAAAUGAUCGUCUAUUUUGACAGGGACAUCAGUUACUGUUCAUUUAACUUCUUGAAAUGUUUGAUCUGAAAUCUGGAGCCGAAUGUAUGUUGGUUUUAAGGGCAUGGUUCUGAACAAGAGCCGAUAGGUGACUGCGGCCAUUAUGUUGACGCCCGAUCCGGUGUCACAAGUCGUCUUGUAGAAGUUGUAUCCAUUUAUGGAGCAAUAGAUGCUUGGCAUUCCUGGGUCGUCCUUCUUGGUCAGAAACGGUGACUUAAAGUUGGUGAUCUUGACCUCCAUGAACUACAGUGACCAUCUUAGCUGACUCGGUCCACACUUUCUUGUUCCUGUUCCUCCUGUUGGUCCUCUUCCUUGAUUCACGUCUAGAUUGAUCUGGGAUUUGUGUUGUCUUGUUCUUGAAGGAAAAUGUCUCCUUCCUCCCUUUGAUGUAGAAACUGAUCUUGGCAGCACUAGCGUAGAUGACAGCUCCCGAGGUGUUUAAGAAUGGCCUCCCUAAGAUGAUGGGUGCCCUCUCAUCAUU
rnacentral:lncRNA from 1 species